AAACCGUGAUCUGUGCUGGGCUGCUCCAGGGUGAGCUCCCUGUUCCCUGAGCAGUUCAGCUUCAGGACUGAAGGUUGGCAGAGGGAUGUGCAGAUAUUGCUGUUUUCUGCUGUUAAAUAUAAUUUUGGGCAACCUCUUGCACACAGCAGCCUCU